rnacentral:rRNA from 1 species
CACGUAGGGGGCUAGCGUUGUCCGGAAUCAUUGGGCGUAAAGCGCGUGUAGGCGGCCAGAUAAGUCCGGUGUGAAAGUCAAAGGCUCAACCUUUGAAUGCCGCUGGAAACUGUCUGGCUAGAGUCCGGAAGGGGCGAGUGGAACUCCUGGUGUAGCGGUGAAAUGCGCAGAUAUCAGGAAGAACACCUAUGGCGAAGGCAGCUCGCUGGGACGUUACUGACGCUGAGACGCGAAAGCGUGGGGAGCAAACAGG